CUUGACUUAUCAUGAAUGAAUAGAAUAGAAUAGAAAAUCUUUCAUUUCCAUAAGAGGUGCCCUCACGGGGCAAAGUACAUAUAAGACAAUAGAAAGUUACAAAUACAAUAAAGCAGAACAGCAAAACACUAUACUUAAUUUGAACAGUACAACAUUGCUAACAGUGUCACUGUGAUACAUAAUAAAUGUUUACUCAAGGCAGGUGUUUUAAUAAAGACACGAUAUAGCUUAGUUAGUUGGUACGGUAAUGUUAACAUUAGGUUCAUAUUACAGUUUUUUGGAACACAUAUACUAAUUUCAAAACAAUUUUGGUAUCUAUGCAUGCCGAAUAUCUAUAAACGGAAGGGCAUAAAGUAUAUUUCGACAUCACAUUCAUAAAAUUUAAAACCAAAGAACGAGAAACGUCAAAGUUAUUUUGUCGUCUACCUGUAUGAUAACGUAACUAAUUUGGUUCACCUGGAACUCACCCUAAUAAGUUGUCACGAUAACAAUAUAAAGUCGUGGCUUAAUAACGCGGAAAUCAGACUUAUAUUUUGUCAAUUAUUUCACUUAUGUUGUCUAAAUGCUCCUUUCUGAAACAAUUUUAGACUUGUAGUGCUGGCAGUUUAAUCUUCAUUUUUAUUUAUGCAUGUAUUUUAGGUGAGUUCCAGGUUAACCAAAUUAGAUACGUCAUCAUACAGGUAGCCGAAAAAUAACUUUGUCGUUUUUAGUUCUUAGGUUUUAAAUUUAAAUUAUAUUAAGUGGCAUCUUUACUUCGUGACUGUACAAUGUGAGGUCGAAAUAUUCAUUCUCGUAGGGCUUCUUAAUUUCAGCAUAACCUGUUUUGCUGAAUCAAUCACUUACAGCAAUAUCAAAAUACGGCACCUCUUUAUUAAUGUUUUUCUUGACAGAAUUGAUUUAUAAAAAGGCAUUAAUUGAUUAGAAUUCAUUUUUGUCAGGUCUAAAGAGAAAUAACAAUUAAAAUCUGUAAAAAAAAAAAAACUUCAUUUUCAGGAUGACAAAGUUAUUUUCAAUCUAACCAUAAUGACGAUUUAUAUUUUAAUGUACGCAUGUCAUAAUAAUUGAGAAAUAAGACGAUAACAUUGAGAAUGAAAAUGGGGAAUAUGUCAAAAGAGACAACAACCCGACCAAAGAGCAGACAACAGCCGAAGGCCACCAAUGGGUCUUCAAUGCAGCGAGAAAAUCUCGCACCCGGAGGUGGUCCUCAGCUGGUUCUUAACUAAAAUUGUGUGCUAGUUCAGUGAAAAUGGAUACAUAGAAGAGGAUAAGUAGCUGGAAAAUUUGGUAAACGGACAAAAAGUCACAGGACAAGAAGUCACAAAUAAUUUGUUGACAAUUGUUUGAAUAUGUUAGAGGAAGAUCCUGAAAUAUUUUCAUUUUAUUAGUAAAUAUAUAUAUUUUACAAUUUAGGUAUAUCUUUCUCUAAAUUAGCAUAAACAUCUACUCUCAACAUUCCUAAAUCAGAGUUAAGCCUUACCCCAUUUUUUACUAACCAGUCACGUCCUCAAAUAUCGUUUCUGUUCAUGUCAGAAACAAACGUAAAACAAGUGUGUCAUUUUCUUAUUUUUAAUAGAAAAUUCAAUUAAAAUACUUCCUAAACAAUAAAGUAAGUUUCUAUUUACAGAAUGAAGAUUAACUUUCAUUUAAGAUAAUUUUGGUAAGUUUAAAGUUUUAAAAAUUGUAUAAUGUAGUAAACUACAUUGUGCUCCAGAAUCAACAAGUGCCCUUAGUUUUCUAUUUUUAAUAUUUAAUAUACAACUGUUUGGAUAACCUGCCAAAUUUAUAGUAAAAAUUUCAUUUGUUUCUGGUCUAGUUUUUCUCUCUUUGUUGGAUCCAUAACAAAGAGAGUUUCUUAGUUUCCAUGAAAUCUAUUUUCUUGUUUAUCAAAAGUUCUAUCCCUACAAAAUCUUUUAAUGUGACCUUUUUUUCCACAUUUACAACAUUCUAUAUCUUUAUUAAAAUUUGGAGAUUUAUCGAAAGCAUUGACUUGUUGUCUUGCCCUACAUCUUUAGAUUAAUGGUCUAGUGAAUUGCAGUAGUGUAAUAUUGGCAGUCAAAGUGCCUCAUUGAUACCUCAGCACCGCAGGUGCCUACUAGGCGCCUCAUUUGACCUUAUGAACGGCGACCUCAUACAAUCAAUCUGGUAUGAUGUAAGGAGUCCCAAGAGGUGAAUCUGAUGCAAACUUUGACCCUAAGAAAGGUGACCUCAUACAACCCAUCUGGCAUGAUGUAACAAAAAUCCACAACAAGGUAGCCUCCUUUGACCCUAUGAAAUGUGACCUCAUCUGACAUGAUGUAACAAUGAUAUGAAAUACACCGCGAAGCCCUUUUCAUUAAAUGAAAACACAAACAAAUAAUUUCUGUUGACAAUUCAUUACAUUAUCUUCAAUGAAUAUACAUAUAUAAUAUGAAGAUACAUUAAAAUAAACCCCCAAGGGUGACUGGGGAAUAGAAAUAUGGUCACCAUUGGUCUUCCUCCGACCGGCGGUAAAACCCUCGCUAAAGUGGGGCGUCCGUUUGGCUGUGCGGGAUGUACAAAUUUGCAGCCACGUCCGGUCAGAAUGGGGACGUUAAAUCCGAUGCCUCGUGUAAAGAGAGUGCCACGCUCUUUGCACGUUAAAAACCCUUGCAACAACUCUUGAGGGGUCCGUAGGUGACCUGUUGCAAGGCUAAAUUUCUGUCCCUAUCCAUUAUACCCUCAUUUCCCGUGGCAAUCUAAAUUUCUCCGACCUUAAUCCCGGACGCCCCUCUUACAUAACUUACCUAUUGUAUUUAUUGUUAAUUUGUUCUCGUCCUGAAUAUGCAUGAAAUAUUUGCCACUGGACGUUAAGCAACCAACAAUCAAUCAAUCAAUCAAUCAUUAAAAUAAAUCACUUAAUACAUUGAAAUAAAUUUUAAUCAUAGUAACUUAAUUAAACUUAAAUAGAACUGUAGUUAUCUUAAAAGAGAAUAAUUUGAAAAGAACAAAGUAUUUCUUUAGGAACUAAGAAGAAAGGAAUGUAAUACAUUGAAAUAAAUUUUAAUCAUAGUACCUUAAUUAAACUUAAAUAAAACUGUAGUUAUCUUAAAAAAGAAUAAAGUAUUACAUUAGGAAAGAAUGUCAACAAAAAAUAUAUUCGGAACGAGAACAUAUGUACAAUAUAUAUAUAUCUCAUCACAAUGUGUAUAUGUAUAAAAAAAAAUACCAUUCGUAAAAAGUUUAACAGCACUAAAAAUUUCAUACAAAAAAUAUCUUUCAUUAAAUAAAAAAGGAGUUCCAAAAGUAAUAUAAUAACAACGGGCUGGGGUGUGUAUACAUAAGAAACAGCUUUAAAAAAUGUCUUUCUUAUCACGAACAAUAUGAUUAAAAUAUGGAUUACAUGUGUAGACAUAAACAGUUGAAAGUAAACAACUAAUUAGACAUGUCAAAUCUGGAAAGUUAAUUAGUUCUGAUGAAUACAUUGUAUGGAGGAAGGUGAUAAUUGGAAACAAUCAAUAUAUCAACAUUUAAUAAAAAAAAAAAAGGUUUAACAUAUAUACAUUAUGUCACAAAAAAAGAAGCACCGAAUAAAAUAAUAAGUAUUUCUUAAGAAACAAUAUUUUUAUAUUUAAAGAGAGAGAGGGAAAAAUUUAUAUGUUUAAAAUUAUUGAAAACAAACAUUGUCAUCUGUACUUUAUAAUUAAAACAAGUAAGGAAAAGGAGAUUAUUUAUUUUCAUUGUGUAAUAGCACUAUGUUACAAAAAAAAAAAUAGAAGCAUCAUUAUCAACAUUAAAUGAAAAAGGUUUAACAUAUAUACAUUAUGUUACAAAAAAAAGAAACAUCAAAUAAAAUAAUAAUUAUUUCUUAAGAAUCAUUAUUUAAAGAGAGAAGGGAAAAAUUUAAAUGUUAUAAAUUAUUGAAGAAAAAAAAAUAAUUCAUCUGUACUUUUAUAUUCCCUUAUUUAUUUUCAUCAUGUUAUAGCACUAUGUUACAAAUAAAAAAUAGAAGCAUCAAUAUAAAUAAAAUUAAAAGUGUUGAGAAGAAACAAUAGAGAGGGAAAAAUUUAUAUAUAUAACUAAUUAUGUAAAUUUUUUGAAGGGUUAUAAAUAAUCAGUGAAACAAAAAUGAAAUAUCAUUCACUUUGAUAAAUAAAAAUGGAGAACACACUGGAAGUAAUGAAAGGGUUGUUGCUGAAAAUUAUACAGAUGGAGGUGGAAUUUACCAGACAUAUCACAAAGAUUGAGAAUCAGAUGAGACUCCCACAAACAACGAGUGAUUGACCUAACUGGAGAAGGACACUAUGAUGUGAUGAAAGAAAAAAGGAGAAUUUUAAAAGCAAAGAGUAGACUACCCGUCACCUCACCAGGCAACCCCAUAGAUUUGACAAGGGGUGAAGAGAAUGAAGUGGCAAAGAGAAGACUACCCGUCACCUCUCCAGGCAACCCCUUAGAUUUGACAGGGGGAGCCUGUUUAAAUCAAAAAGAGAGGGACGAGAGGAUAGAGGAAAAGAUGGAAGAAGAUUCACCUAUAUCACCAAUGACUGUGUUAAUGGACUUUUCCAUUUUAUCAAUGGAUGAACAAUAAUGGGGAUAAAAAUAAAAUUUGUAAUUUGAAAUGUUGAUUUAUUUCCGUUGAAAAUAAUACCAUGAGUAUGUGUAUAAGGUAAACAAUUUUCUUCCUAGUGGUUAUACCCAAUAAAAAACAAUUAUUUAAGAAGAUGAGGUAUGAUCACCAAUGAGAUAUUUAAUGAUGUAGAAGUUAGAAACUAUUAUUUAUGUGAAUUUGUGAGGUUGUCUGUUGGUAUACUAUUAAUAAGUAAGUCUGCAAAGUGGUACUUUGGUUCACGGCACAUGAUAAGCUACACGCUUCUGAUAUUAGAUUGUCCAGUGACAAAUAGU